GUGGGGAAUCUUGCGCAAUGGGCGAAAGCCUGACGCAGCCAUGCCGCGUGAAUGAUGAAGGUCUUAGGAUUGUAAAAUUCUUUCACCGGGGACGAUAAUGACGGUACCCGGAGAAGAAGCCCCGGCUAACUUCGUGCCAGCAGCCGCGGUAAUACGAAGGGGGCUAGCGUUGCUCGGAAUUACUGGCCGUAAAGGGCGCGUAGGCGGACAGUUUAGUCAGAGGUGAAAGCCCAGGGCUCAACCUUGGAAUUGCCUUUGAUACUGGCUGUCUUGAGUACGGGAGAGGUGAGUGGAACUCCGAGUGUAGAGGUGAAAUUCGUAGAUAUUCGGAAGAACACCAGUGGCGAAGGCGACUCACUGGCCCGUUACUGACGCUGAGGCGCGAAAGCGUGGGGAGCAAACAGGAUUAGAAACCCGUGUAGUCC
rnacentral:rRNA from 1 species